AAUAGAUACCCCGGUAGUCCAUGCCGUAAACGUUGGGCACUAGGUGUGGGGGACAUUCCACGUUCUCCGCGCCGUAGCUAACGCAUUAAGUGCCCCGCCUGGGGAGUACGGUCGCAAGGCUAAAACUCAAAGGAAUUGACGGGGGCCCGCACAAGCGGCGGAGCAUGCGGAUUAAUUCGAUGCAACGCGAAGAACCUUACCAAGGCUUGACAUACACUGGACCGUUCUGGAAACAGUUCUUCUCUUUGGAGCUGGUGUACAGGUGGUGCAUGGUUGUCGUCAGCUCGUGUCGUGAGAUGUUGGGUUAAGUCUCGCAACGAGCGCAACCCUCGUUCUAUGUUGCCAGCACGUGAUGGUGGGAACUCAUAGGAGACUGCCGGGGUCAACUCGGAGGAAGGUGGGGAUGACGUCAAAUCAUCAUGCCCUUUAUGUCUUGGGCUUCACGCAUGCUACAAUGGCUGGUACAGAGAGAGGCGAACCCGUGAGGGUAAGCGAAUCCCUUAAAGCCAGUCUCAGUUCGGAUCGUAGU
rnacentral:rRNA from 1 species